rnacentral:rRNA from 1 species
GACGAACGCUGGCGGCGUGCCUAAUACAUGCAAGUAGGACGCAGUUGCGAACGGGUGAGUAACGCGUAGGUAACUACCUAUUAGAGGGGGAUAACUAUUGGAAACGAUAGCUAAUACCGCAUACUAGUAGAUGGACCUGCGUUGUAUUAGCUAGUAGGUAGGGUAAUGGCCUACCCAGGCAACGAUACAUAGCCGAGUCUGGGGGGUGGUCGGCCAAACUUGGACUGAGACACGGCCCAGACUCCUACGGGAGGCAGCCGGAGGGAAACGUCGGCAAUGGGGGGAAACCUGACCGAGCAACGCCGCGGGAGUGAAGAAGGUUUUCGGAUCGUAAAGCUCUGUUGUUAAGGAAGCGGUACUUAACCAGAAAGGGACGGCUAACUACGUGCCAGCCGCCGCGGUAAUUC